UUGACACGGCCCAGACUCCUACGGGAGGCAGCAGUGGGGAAUAUUGCGCAAUGGGCGAAAGCCUGACGCAGCGACGCCGCGUGGGGGAUGACGGCCUUCGGGUUGUAAACCUCUUUCAGCAGGGACGAAGUUGACGUGUACCUGCAGAAGAAGCGCCGGCUAACUACGUGCCAGCAGCCGCGGUAAUACGUAGGGCGCAAGCGUUGUCCGGAAUUAUUGGGCGUAAAGAGCUCGUAGGUGGCUUGUCACGUCGGGUGUGAAAGCUUGGGGCUUAACUCCAGGUCUGCAUUCGAUACGGGCUGGCUAGAGGUAGGUAGGGGAGAACGGAAUUCCUGGUGUAGCGGUGAAAUGCGCAGAUAUCAGGAGGAACACCGGUGGCGAAGGCGGUUCUCUGGGCCUUACCUGACGCUGAGGAGCGAAAGCGUGGGGAGCGAACAGGAUUAGAUACCCUGGUAGUCCACGCUGUAAACGUUGGGCGCUAGGUGUGGGGACCUUCCACGGUUUCCGCGCCGUAGCUAACGCAUUAAGCGCCCCGCCUGGGGAGUACGGCCGCAAGGCUAAAACUCAAAGGAAUUGACGGGGGCCCGCACAAGCGGCGGAGCAUGUUGCUUAAUUCGACGCAACGCGAAGAACCUUACCAAGGCUUGACAUUGCCCGGAAACACUCAGAGAUGGGUGCCUCUUCGGAUCGGGUGACAGGUGGUGCAUGGCUGUCGUCAGCUCGUGUCGUGAGAUGUUGGGUUAAGUCCCGCAACGAGCGCAACCCUUGUUCAAUGUUGCCAGCACGCUCCUUCGGGGGUGGUGGGGACUCAUUGGAGACUGCCGGGGUCAACUCGGAGGAAGGUGGGGAUGACGUCAAGUCAUCAUGCCCCUUAUGUCUUGGGCUGCAAACAUGCUACAAUGGCCGGUACAGAGGGCUGCGAUACCGCAAGGUGGAGCGAAUCCCUAAAAGCCGGUCUCAGUUCGGAUUGGGGUCUGCAACUCGACCCCAUGAAGUCGGAGUCGCUAGUAAUCGCAGAUCAGCAACGCUGCGGUGAAUACGUUCCCGGGCCUUGUACACACCGCCCGUCACGUCACGAAAGUCGGCAACACCCGAAGCCCGUGGCCCAACCAGCUUGCUGGGGGGAGCGGUCGAAGGUGGGGCUGGCGAUUGGGACGAAGUCGAACAAGGUAGCCGUACCGGAAGGUGCGGCUG
rnacentral:rRNA from 1 species